CCUACGGGUGGCAGCAGUGGGGAAUAUUGCACAAUGGGGGAAACCCUGAUGCAGCAACGCCGCGUGAGUGAAGAAGUAUCUCGGUAUGUAAAGCUCUAUCAACAGGGAAGAAAAUGACGGUACCUGAGUAAGAAGCCCCGGCUCACUACGUGCCAGCCGCCGCGGUAAUACGUAGGGGGCAAGCGUUAUCCGGAUUUACUGGGUGUAAAGGGAGCGUAGACGGCGAUGCAAGUCUGAAGUGAAAGCCCGGGGCUUAACCCCGGGACUGCUUUGGAAACUGGAUGGCUGGAGUGCGGGAGAGGUAAGCGGAAUUCCUAGUGUAGCGGUGAAAUGCGUAGAUAUUAGGAAGAACACCAGUGGCGAAGGCAGCUUGCUGGACAGUAACUGACGUUGAGGCUCGAAAGCGUGGGGAGCAAACAGGAUUAGAUACCCUAGUAGUC
rnacentral:rRNA from 1 species